GACGGAGGGUGCUAGCGUUGUUCGGAAUCACUGGGCGUAAAGGGCGCGUAGGCGGCCUUUGGUGUCGGAUGUGAAAGCCCGGGGCUCAACUCCGGAGGUGCAUCCGAAACUCAGGGGCUCGAGGCCGGAAGAGGAGGGUGGAAUACCCAGUGUAGAGGUGAAAUUCGUAGAUAUUGGGUGGAACACCGGUGGCGAAAGCGGCUCUCUGGUCCGGUCCUGACGCUGAGGCGCGAAAGCGUGGGGAGCAAACAGG
rnacentral:rRNA from 1 species